AGUCGAGGAUCUUCGGCAAUGGGCGCAAGCCUGACCGAGCGACGCCGCGUGCGGGAUGAAGGCCUUCGGGUUGUAAACCGCUGUCAGGGGGGAUGAAAUCAUGGUGGGUCCUCCCAUCAUGUUGACAGAGCCCCAGAGGAAGCGCGGGCUAAGUUCGUGCCAGCAGCCGCGGUAAUACGAACUGCGCGAACGUUAUUCGGAAUCACUGGGCUUACAGGGUGCGUAGGUGGCAGAGAAAGUAGGGUGUGAAAUGCCUUGGCUCAACCAAGGCACAGCGCUCUAAACUCCUUUGCUUGAGUGAGUCAGGGGUGCACGGAACUUCCGGUGGAGCGGUGAAAUGUGUUGAUAUCGGAAGGAACACCGGCGGCGAAAGCGGUGCACUGGGGCUUAACUGACACUGAGGCACGAAAGCCAGGGGAGCGAA
rnacentral:rRNA from 1 species